rnacentral:tmRNA from 1 species
GGGGCCGAUUAGGAUUCGACGCCGGUUGCAAAACUUUAGGUGCAUGCCGAGUUGGUAACAGAACUCGUAAAUCCACUGUUGCAACUUCUAUAGUUGCCAAUGACGAAAACUACGGAGCACAAGCUCUAGCUGCGUAAGCAGCCGAGUCGCUCCCCUGGUAGCUUCGGCUCCAGCAAUCAUCAGAGGAUGUCUGUAAACUCGAAAUGAUUGUCAGAUAGAACAGAAUCGCCGCGUAGUACGUUGUGGACGAAGUGGCUAAAACUUACACAACUCACCCAAUGCACCCUGCCCGUCGGGCGGCUGAGGGUUAAAAUAAUAGACACGGCUAAGCAUGUAGUACCGACAGCGGAGUACUGGCGGACGGGGGUUCAAAUCCCCCCGGCUCCACCA